GACGAACGCUGGCGGCGCGCUUAACACAUGCAAGUCGAACGGAAAGGCCUGCUUUCCCUUGUGGAUUGCGGGUACUCGAGUGGCGAACGGGUGAGUAACACGUGAGUGAUCUGCCCCCAACUUGGGUAUAAGCCUGGGAAACUGGGUCUAAUUCCCGAUAGGACUGCAGGGUGGUGCCUGUGGUGGAAAACGAUUUUCUAGUGGUUGGGGAUGAGCUCGCGGCCUAUCAGCUUGUUGGUGGGGUAAUGGCCUACCAAGGCGGCGACGGGUAGCCGGCCUGGGAGGGUGGACGGCCACAUUGGGACUGAGAUACGGCCCAGACUCCUACGGGAGGCAGCAGUGGGGAAUAUUGCACAAUGGGCGGAAGCCUGAAGCAGCGACGCCGCGUGGGGGAUGACGGCCUUCGGGUUGUAAACUCCUUUCGACCGCGAGGAAGCCACCUGGUUGGAAGGGUGGUGACGGUAGUGGUAGAAGAAGCACCGGCUAACUACGUG
rnacentral:rRNA from 1 species